GGUGAUGCAAGUGCCAUGAUGUUGCCAAUCUCCGACUUGAUUCUCUCCCACUUUGCUUUCAUUGCUUUUUCCCCCUCUGGCUUGUUUUUGUUCCUUUCUGUUAGAAAUAAGCGUCCUGAGAUCAAUUGCUGUUGUUACUGUGUGUGUAUGUGCGUAUAUUAACAGGGAUGUCUCUACAUUGAUAUACACUACUGUUUUGGGAUCUGUACAGUGCGAAGACACGCAUUGUGUAAGUAAAUUGUUUCUUGUAGAGAGGAUUACCAUGUUAAUUUUGGGUGUGUGAAAACAUUCUCAAAAAAACCUGUGGUAUAGUAGAACAAGGCAACUGUGGUUGUGGAUGUUUUUUAGAACUGUUUCUUUGUUUACAUAAGAAGUCAAAUUGGACAGAAUAUUUUGUUUAAAUAAUGUUGUAGUAUCAUGUAAAAGCUUGCAAUGAACACAAGAAUAUACUGAUUGCUCUCUUUUUGUGAAAUGUUUUUUGUCCAAUGAUUAAAUUUUUGAUAACUGGUAUACUCAAUAUCACCAAAAACAAAUUUUUCUUGACAAUAUGGAAUUUCAAUAAAAAGCUCUGGAGAUAUUUCCUCUAAAAUAUUAAUACAUAACCUGUAGGUCAGUAUUAAUUAUCUCUGACAAUUCAAAAUAAUUUUUAUUUUAAAAAUUAUAUAUAUAAAAAAAAAAAAAAAAAACUAGAAUAGAAACUCCUUGUUUCUUUUUAAAAAUAUAUAUUCUUAAUGUUGUAGCAAAAGAUAACUUCCCAAAUCAAACA
rnacentral:lncRNA from 1 species